GUGGAUGUUCAACAGCUGGAAUUCAGGUACUAUGGAGAUUUUCUGGUGGAAACUGGAGCAUCUGGAGGAUUUUGUUAUCAUGAGGAUGAAGCACCAGCUUGGCAGGGAUUUUAGUCUGGACAGCCUUGCCCAGAAUCCCAUGAGAAAAACAUUCAGCAUUGUUUCAUAUAUGGGAUGUACCAGAGACCUAAAGAUGACAUUUAGCAAACUACGGACUGCAAUGCUGGAGGGUCUAAGACUGCUUUGGUGUGCAUGAGACCAGAACACAGAAAAAGCUACUUCAAGACUAAGAACCUACAGAGCUUUCCAGGAAUGCACAGCCCAGACCCUCUUGGAGGUUGGCAGCUGAAACCUGCUUUCCAGAAACAGAGGUUCCUCUUCUUUUCCACAAAUAUCAACAUCUUGUUUGUCCACCCAAGAGAUGUGAGGGCUAUAAACUCCUAGUGUGGAAGAAUGAGGAAGGAACAACAGCUGGAACCACCACAAGCACCAAAACUUGGUAUGUAUUUAAAUUAUAUAAUUAAAGAAUUACCUUAUUACCAUUAAUGCUUUCUGGUUUCCUCCCUGAAACUCUCAAUAUCUCUCUAAAGGCCUUUUCCAAGUAGCUUGAUGUACUGAUCAGUUGUGUCUCAGGUAGACACAGCAGGGAAAUGGUCACCACUACCAGCAGCACAAGAAGCAGAAUAGGA
rnacentral:lncRNA from 1 species